GAAAGAAUUCUGGCUCCGAGGGCCGGUGUACAGUGCUUUAAAUAUGGCAGUGGUUAUGUGUGAAAUUAUCGUGUUUUUCUGUUUAACCUGUUUCUUGUCUCUUCAUCGCCUUUCUAUAUAAUUACUAGCUACUCGGGAGGCUGAGGUGGUAGGAUCACUGGCGCCCAGCAAUUCCAGCCUGCAGUUAGGAUUACCACACUGCACUUCAGCCUGAGCGGCAGAAUGGGACCAUGUCUGAAAAAAUAAAUAAAAAAUAAAACCUGAAGCCUUAAACUUCAUCUGCAAAAAUGUUUUGUGGCAGGUGACUCUGAAGCAGAACUCUUGAGAUGGAAGGAUUGUCAUCUGAGGAAAAAAAAUCAAGAUUAAGAGAGGAGGAACUAGAAUGAGAUUCACAUACCGUCUCUCCUCCAAGGGAAGGAGAGAGUGGUGAUGCCUGCCCACUCCUUCCUGGGCAGAACAUUUGUAGCAUGGAACAUUGGAGAAUUUGCAGUCUGCUGACUUUCUGAUUUAGGAGGUUGAUGGGGAGGCCUUAUAAUUUGCAUUUCUAACAAGUUCUGAGGUGAUGCUUCAAGUAUGUCCAGGCAGAAGGGCUGCCUCACAGAGAAUUCUGCCAUACCACAUGGGAAUUGAAGUCACAGACAUCUCUAACCCUCAAGCCUGAAACCAAAAGACUGAAAACCAACACUACAGUGGACAAAGAACAUCUCUGAACUUGUGUGGGGACCAGUGACACAAGGACCUAAGGUCUCUCUCUUCUCAUCUUGGCACUUCAGAAGUCUCCCCAAUCUUGACAAAGCCCUGGAGAAAGGGCCGGGCCUCCCGUUGAUAAGAAUAUCACUGCAGAUAAAUGGAGGUUUCAAAUUGAAAGAAAGGAGGAGGGCCUCCUGUUGAUAAGAUUAUUGUCACUGCAGGUAAAUGGAGGCUUCAAAUAGAAAUACAUUUCAGUUACAGAAAAAAAAAUUAUCUUUGUUACACAUUUGAGUUUGCAGGCCUAAGGUUACUCCCGCUACACUAUCAUCUGUAACCAUAACGCACUCAACAUUUUAAGCUAACUAUAAGGAUUGUUGCUUCACUCAAAGAUCCUGAGGUUUUAUUCACUAACAUUUUUAUUUGGUGACUAUAGUUGACAAGAACAAAGCUGUGGGGAACCAACAAACACUGCAAUGCCUGGCAUUGUCACCUCACUAGAUUGUGAGUUCCUCUGGGACAGGGUCCGUACAUUUUCUUAGAAUCCCUCACUUAGCCAUUAGCCUGCACAGUGCUUGUACUUAGUAAGUGCUCAGUAAAUGUUUGUGGAAUGAAUGCAUGAUGAACAAAAUAUAUACUGAGGACUCUUGGUGUUGAUUCUUGUUGAUAAUGUAAUAGUUAAGAUAUGUUAUAAAUAUGUUAUAAAUAUUGUAUCAAAAUAUUGUAUCAAAAAUAUACUUGAACAGGCUGGGCGUGGUGGCUCACACUUGUAAUCCCAGCCCUUUAGGAGGCUGAGGUGGGUGGAUCACUUGAGGUCAGGAGUUCGAGACCAGACUGGCCAACAUGGUAAAACCCCAUCUCCACUAAAAAAAAACAAAAGUUAACUGGGCAUGGUUGUGGGUGACUGUAAUCCCAGCUACUCAGGAGGCUGAGGCAGGAGAAUCGCUUGAACCCGGGAGGUAGAGGUUGCAGUGAACCAAGAUCGCACCACUGCACUCUAGGGGACAGAGCAAGACGCCUCAAAAAAAAAAAUGUAUAUAUAUAGUAUAUACAUACACAUGAGCAUAAAGGAGCUUCAAUGUGAAGGUAAUAAUUUAAGCAACAUUUCACAUUUUGGACCUGUGUUGUUAGCUAUUUAGAACAGUUAAACUACUAGCUUGCUUUUAAAUCCAUUGUCUUAGUCAUUUCAAGUUGUUAUAACAAAAUACCAUACACUGAGUAGUUUAUAAACAACAGAAUGCAUUUCUCUCAAUUCUGGAGGCUGGGAAGUCCAAGAUCAAGGUGCUGGCAGAUUGUGUGUAGUGAAGAUCCAUUCAUCAGAGAUGGCACCUUCUCGUUGUGUCCUCACAUGGUGGAUGGGGCAACAGGCUCUCUUAGGCUUCUUUUAUAAGGGCAAUAAUUCAUGAAGUUUCCACACUUAUGAUAGAAUUACCUCCUAGAGGCCCCACUUCCAAAUACCAUCACCUUGAGGGUUAGGUUUCAACAUACAAAUUUUGGAGGUACACAUUCAGAUGAUGACAGCACUCAUAGGUUACCUUUCAUCUUUGGGUUCUCAGUGCCUGCUACAACAGCACAAGAACAGUAAGUGUGUGCUGAAUGAAUACAGAUGAAUGAACCUUUCCCCAUCCUCAGAUACUUCCCAACUGAGCUCCACUAUCACCAAACUUCUAGAGCACAUUAUUUUUUGCCUUAUGAUCUCGUUAGGUGGGUUUUUCUUGCACAUACCACACUAAUCCAGUGGUCCUCAAAAUUGUGUGCCCAUUAGAAUCCUCUGGAGGGGUUGUAAAAAUAGUUUGCUGGGUCCUAACCCCAGAGUUUCUGAUUUAGGAGGUUUGGGAUGGGGACACCAAAAUUUGCAUUUCUAACAAGUCCAGAGGUGAUGUUGAUACUGCUGGCUACCAACUCUACCUUAUAAACCAUUGCCCAUUAAACUCUUGAGGGUAGAGACUGUCUUCCUCAUUUCAGUAUCUGCUGAAGCCUCUGGCAUAGUACCUGGCACAUAGGAGCUGCUAAAGAAGUAGUUGAUUGAACAAUAGUUCAAAAAAGUUUAUUUUACUGAAGCUAGAUUACAAGUAUAUGAAUGUGUGUGUAUAUGUGAUUAAAUGAGCUAUUACAUGUAAAAGCUCUUAAAACAUGGCACAUAGUAAGCUGUUGCUUUAAAAAAAAUAAAAAAUGUAACCUUUCUUUGCUUAUAUUCUAAAAUGACACCAACCAUCCUACAUGUGUGCUCUUAAAUAGCUUAUAUAUUAGAAUAAUGGAAUCUUAGUACUAAAGGCUGGAUGUGGUUGCUCAUGCCUGUAAUCCCAGCACCUUGGGAAGCCGAGGUGGGUGGAUCACUUGAGGUCAGGAGUUCAAGACCAACCUGUUCAAUAUGGUAAAACCCUGUCUCUACUAAAAAUACAAAAAUUAGCCCUGCGUGGUGGUGCAUGCCUGUAGUCGCAGAUACUUAGGAGGCUGAGGCAGGAGAAUUGCUUGAACCUGGGAGGUAGAGGUUGCAGUGAGCUGAGAAGAUUGUACCACUGCACUCCAGCCUGGGCAAAAGAGACUGUCUAAAAAAAAAAAAAAAAAGUAAUCUAGUUAAUAUUUCAAUAUUGAGCAUCAAGAAUUUUUAAAAAUUGGUUGAGUGUUUUCUACAUGCAGAAAGAUACAGCAGAGAGCAUAGACACAAUCCUUGCCCUCCCAAGCGUAUACCCAGCGAGAAAGUGAGAAGCACAGAGUAUGUGUAAGCAUAAAAAUACUAAGUUUUGAGAGUAGACAGCAACUAUGAAAAUAUUCAGUUAUAUCGAUGCAACUCAGUCUUCAUUAAUUGUUCUCAUCGGAGCACAUCUUUUUCACAUUCUGUAAAGUAACGCUCGGUAUGGGCCCAAGGAAUAUUUAAUAAAUAUUUAAAAAUGAAGUUAAUAAUUGUUUUGAAAGCCAUAUGGUUGAUAUUUCUUCUUAAAUGUAACCAAUAGAAACAACAUAAGGAAUUUGGCCUGUGCAUAUAUUUGCACAUUUAUGGUACAGGCAUUUACAUGGAGGUGCCUGUCAUUUGUGACACAGACUUCUCAUCAAGUUUCAGAAGGAACAGAUGUUUCUAGAUGGAAUAAUAUGGAGCUUGCCAUUGUAAGAAUCCUGUAAUAAAUCCUUUCAUAAAAUAAAUAUAUCUGAAUUAUCUCUUGUUAUACAUUUUCACUCCUGGAUCAUCUAAAGUAGAACACAAAGAUUGUUCAUAAACUAUUCAUUCAAAACAACUUUAUAUAAAAAGAAUUACUGUUGCUGAAUUCUGGAUUCUUAUUG
rnacentral:lncRNA from 1 species